rnacentral:misc_RNA from 1 species
CCCCCUCGGGUUUCCGAUCGGGCUGGACUUGGGCGCCUGCCAUCCGUGGCUCGCCUUGAAUGCCUUAGCCGUGGACCGGCGCCGAAGCCAGACGUGAUACGUUUCGUCUUGCCAGGUGUCGGGCCCGCUCCUAAUCGUCCCUCGGGACAACACCUCUUUGCUCUGACCUCAAAUCAGGUAGGACUACCCGCUGAACUUAA